rnacentral:rRNA from 1 species
UACGAAGGGGGCUAGCGUUGCUCGGAAUCACUGGGCGUAAAGCGCACGUAGGCGGAUCUUUAAGUCAGGGGUGAAAUCCUGGAGCUCAACUCCAGAACUGCCUUUGAUACUGGGGAUCUCGAGUCCGGGAGAGGUGAGUGGAACUGCGAGUGUAGAGGUGAAAUUCGUAGAUAUUCGCAAGAACACCAGUGGCGAAGGCGGCUCACUGGGUCUCUUCUGACGCUGAGGAACGAAAGCUAGGGAGCAAACGGGAGUUAGAAACCC